UUGGCAGGUUUUCUCCCUCUCUGCUCUCCACUACAGAUUUCCUCCAUCCUGGCUCCCUUUCUGCAAAGAUGUUGGAGGAAGAUCAGUUAGAGCGGGAAGAAUGUGGGCAAAAAUCAGCUGGAUGCGUGGAAGCCGUUCCUCCUGUACAUACACAAGCAGACGCCGCAUCGAGCGGGCCGGCCCGUUGCUGUGACACAUCAACGCAGAGCCGCCAUAUUGCAUGUGGCAGAUGUGCGCUGUAAACGAAUCCAAGUCAAUGGACUGAACUUCAUGAAGCGCCUUUCUACAAACUUCUAUGCAGAGUCGUGUUGCCCAGGCUGCCCCUGAACACAUCCUAAAGCCUUCAGCCUGCAGCAGUCACAAGGAGGUGUGCUGCUGCCUCUGCUGCCUCUGCUGCUGCUGCUCCUGCUGCUCCUGCUGCUCCUGUGAAAGAAGAUGAUGUCACUGCUGCUCCACACACGCAAACGCAUUUGGAUGGACCACUUGACGGAGACGCAGCUUUUUCUUAGACAUGGGAAACUCUGACAUCUCCUCAAACCUGGACUCACACAUCAAGCACACAUUGAAGUCCAGACAUGCAAACAGAAGGUCAAGCACUUUCUCACUCACUUCUCAGUGCUUCCACACAUUUACGCUCUUUCUGUUGUCCUGGCUGGAUGUAUGAGGAUCUUUAUAACGCCAAACAUCAAUUGAAGACAGUCUGAGCGCUUUCCUUAGUUUGCUUCAUGUAAAUAAUGACUUUGAGCUUCAUUGCCUAAAACUGAUGUCUGAGUG